UAGAGUUUGAUCCUGGCUCAGAACGAACGCUGGCGGCAUGCCUAACACAUGCAAGUCGAACGCAGUAGCAAUACUGAGUGGCGGACGGGUGAGGAACACGUGGGAACAUGCCGAAUGGUGGGGGACAACUGCGGGAAACUGCAGCUAAUACCGCAUAAGCCCUGAGGGGGAAAGAUUUAUCGCCAUUCGAUUGGCCCGCGGCAGAUUAGGUAGUUGGUAGGGUAAAGGCCUACCAAGCCGAUGAUCUGUAACUGGUCUGAGAGGAUGACCAGUCACACUGGGACUGAGACAAGGCACAGACUCCUACGGGAGGCAGCAGUGGGGAAUAUUGGACAAUGGGGGAAACCCUGAUCCAGCAAUGCCGCGUGAGUGAAGAAGGCCUUCGGGUUGUAAAGCUCUUUUGCCUGUGACGAUGAUGACAGUAACAGGAGAAUAAGCCCCGGCUAACUCCGUGCCAGCAGCCGCGGUAAGACGGAGGGGGGCUAGCGUUGUUCGGAAUGACUGGGCGUAAAGGGCGCGUAGGCGGCAAAUCAAGUCAGGUGUGAAAGCCUUGGGCUCAACC
rnacentral:rRNA from 1 species